GCCCGGUUAGCUUAGUGGUAGAGCGUGUGGCUUUUACGGGAUCGUACCCUCUAGAAGUUUACCUCAAGGUCGCGGGUUCGACCCCCGCAUCGGGCU